GUUUGAUCAUGGCUCAGAAUCCACGCUGGNGGCGUGCCUAACACAUGCAAGUCGAGCGCGAAAGGAGGCUUCGGCCUCUGAGUAGAGCGGCGGACGGGUGAGUAACACGUGGGUAACCUGUCCUCGGGUGGGGAAUAACUUCGGGAAACCGGGGCUAAUUCCGCAUGAUAUCGCUGAUUCAUAAGUGUUUGCGAUCAAAGCUGGGGAUCCUUCGGGACCUGGCGCCUGAGGAGGGG
rnacentral:rRNA from 1 species